CGGGACGAGUGAGUAACGCGUGGAAAACCUGCCGUAUACUGGGGGAUAACACUUAGAAAUAGGUGCUAAUACCGCAUUAAGCGCACAGCUUCGCAUGAAGCGGUGUGAAAAACUCUGGUGGUAUACGAUGGUUCCGCGUCUGAUUAGCUAGUUGGUGGGGUAAUGGCCUACCAAGGCAACGAUCAGUAGCCGGCCUGAGAGGGUGAACGGCCACAUUGGGACUGAGACACGGCCCAAACUCCUACGGAAGGCAGCAG
rnacentral:rRNA from 1 species